rnacentral:rRNA from 1 species
GAUGAACGCUGGCGGCGUGCCUAAUACAUGCAAGUCGAGCGGAAGAUUUAGCAAUAGAUCUUUAGCGGCGAACGGGUGAGUAACGCGUUGGUGACCUGCCUCGAAGAUUGGGAUAACAGUUCGAAAGGACUGCUAAUACCGGAUGUGAUCCUGGAGAUUAGAGGCUCUGGGAUUAAAGGAGCAAUCCACUUCGAGAGGGGCCUGCGUCCCAUCAGCUAGUUGGUAAGGUAAAGGCUUACCAAGGCGAUGACGGGUAGGGGACCUGAGAGGGUGGCCCCCCACAAUGGAACUGAAACACGGUCCAUACACCUACGGGUGCAG